GAAAGUGUUAGUGAAGGUUGAAGACAGAAUAACAGGGAGGCACCUCUUUGAGAUGUUGCUGUUUGGGAAGGUCUCUAUGAAUCGGGUGACUCCCAGAGACUGGGUGAGGAAUAUGAGCCAGCUUGAUGAGAGUGCUAGUGGGGGAUAGCGCAGGACAAUCACAUCCAUUACCUUUAAGAGUGGCCGCACCUCCCAUCAGCUUCAAAGACUGCUAGAAGCACAGAAGUGUGAGCAAAUUUCAACACUCCGGGACCUCCUGACUCUUCUGAACUCCUGCAGGCCCUUUGGCUACAGAGAAAACUCAAGAAUAAAAAUGGAGAUCUGCUUAACAAGAUUAAAAAACAGUUCCUUCAAAAAGUAACCUGCCCACAUGCUCAUAAUAGUAGCAUAUUUAACAGCUUUUCAUUAAGGAAACCGUCAAACACAGAGAAGUUGAAAGAUUUCUACAAUGGACAUCCAUAUAUCCUCCACCCAGAUUUGACAACUGUUAACGUCUUCAGUUUCUGUCUUACCUAACUAUAUGUGUGUGUGCAAAUAUAUGUAUUUGUAAACAUAAAUAUGUAGAUAAGUAACCUGUGGCAAACACGUGCAGAUAUAACAUGUCAAAUA